UACGUAGGCAGCAAGCGUUGUCCGGAAUUACUGGGCGUAAAGAGUGUGUAGGCGGUGUUCUAAGUCUGUUGUGAAAUCUCCCGGCUUAACUGGGAGGGUGCGGCGGAGACUGGAAUGCUAGAGUGUGGGAGAGGUAAGCGGAAUUCCUGGUGUAGCGGUGAAAUGCGUAGAUAUCUGGAGGAACACCGGUGGCGAAGGCGACGUCCUGGACCGGCAUUGACGCUGAGGCGCGAAAGCCAGGGGAGCAAACGGG
rnacentral:rRNA from 1 species